rnacentral:misc_RNA from 1 species
GGUGUUUCCUCCUUUGGUUAUAAGAUGAAUUGGUCUUAUAGGUUUUCUAAAAUUCCAAAUUGUAAUUGAUAUUUGAUGAGUGUUACUUUUUUGUGCUUAUACUUCAAUGUGUGAACAGACAGAUGGAACUUACACGCACAACAUUGAAAACUUUGUUCACCAAGUAUGCAAGCUGGCACGUGUACAUGGGGAUGAACAUCAUAAGAGCCGCGUGAGAGCUUCUAGUCUGCAAUGCGUUUCGGCAAUGUGUGGUUCAUGGCAGAGUUCUUA